rnacentral:rRNA from 1 species
UGCCGCGUGCCGGAUGAAGGCCUUCUGGGUUGUAAACGGCUUUUCUCAGGGAAGAAAACGGGUCUGCGGACCACACUGACGGUACCUGAGGAAUAAGCACCGGCUAACUCCGUGCCAGCAGCCGCGGUAAUACGGAGGGUGCAAGCGUUGUCCGGAUUUAUUGGGUUUAAAGGGUGCGUAGGUGGCCUGUUAAGUCCGGGGUGAAAGCCCACAGCUCAACUGUGGAACUGCCCUGGAUACUGGCGGGCUUGAGAGUAGUAGAGGGUGGCGGAAUAGACGCUGUAGCGGUGAAAUGCAUAGAUAGCGUCUAGAACCCCGAUUGCGAAGGCAGCUGCCUAUGCUACAUCUGACACUGAGGCACGAAAGCGUGGGGAGCGAACAGGAUUAGAUACCCUGGUAGUCCACGCCGUAAACGAUGGAUACUCGCUGGUAGCGAUACACAGUUACUGGCUUAGCGAAAGCGUUAAGUAUCCCACCUGGGGAGUACGCUCGCAAGAGUGAAACUCAAG